rnacentral:lncRNA from 1 species
GGGGGGGGGGUGUGGUUUGGACGAGAAACAAACCCUAUUCUUACUUAUAGGUGCUCACAAAGGCUGGUACCCUGGAGAAGCUCUGGAAUAAAUACACCUAGGCUUUUGAAAAUGGAGACCCAAGGACGGAUUCCUGGUCCCGGUACACUCGCCACUCCCUGUCCCCCUUCUUUUUGUCUUCUAUCUUCUGGUGGUGGUGGCAAGCCCUCACUUCAUGUCCAGAUGGGCGUCUCUGAGGUUGGCAGGACCCCUUGCUGUCUACAACCCAGGCCUGGUGGCUUUCUCAGGUCUUCUUCAUAUUAUGAAAGAAGCCAGAGCAGAUCACCUUCCUGCAUGUCUACCAUGUUCUUCACUCCAUGGGCUGGAGUCAGAUAUGUGCCACAGGGUCAAGAGUCGGGAGGACAGAAAUGGACCAAGUUUCCUGUACUCACUUCCCUUAUAGCACUUCUCACAUGGAUUUGUAACUGUUUAUACUUCUCCUUCCUUUGGGAUGUGAGCCCUCAAGGGGGGAGAGGGGGACUGUCUUAUUCCCAAUGUUCCCCACACCUGGCACAGCGCCUCAAUAAAUGUGCAUUUGCAUCCUUGUAUUCCACCACGAGCAGUCAUGGCCCCUGGUGAAGAUCAGGGCUGGCAACAUGCCAGAAGUUGAGGCUGGCUUGAUAGCUUACCUUGCAGUGAGAAAUGGUAGGAAUAUCCAAGAGUGAGUGUGGGUCUGUUUGGUUUCUAGCAUGGCUGCAUGAACAUUUGCCCCUGCACCUCUUCUAGUCUGUUCACUACUACCUGCACUUGUAGUUAUAUAGUUGGAUGAUUCUGUGUAUGUGAAUGGACUGAUGGAGAGGGCUACGUGUUUAUGUCUAAAUAUUUGUUUUCAAAUAUACAUGCGUGAUCCCUUUGAGUUUCUCUCUGUGUUGUUUGCCUGUCUCUUCUAUAAGUCUCUGUAAGUGCCACAUGGUAAUAAAAGCCAACUGGG